rnacentral:rRNA from 1 species
CACGUGGGGAACCUGCCCCACUAGUCUGGGAUACCACUUGGAAACAGGUGCUAAUACCGGAUAAGAAAGCGGAUCGCAUGAUCAGCUUUUAAAAGGCGGCGUAAGCUGUCGCUAUGGGAUGGCCCCGCGGUGCAUUAGCUAGUUGGUAAGGUAAAGGCUUACCAAGGCGAUGAUGCAUAGCCGAGUUGAGAGACUGAUCGGCCACAUUGGGACUGAGACACGGCCCAAACUCCUACGGGAGGCAGCAGGC